rnacentral:lncRNA from 1 species
AAAGGGGUGAUCCCUUGGCUGUAAAUGGCAAGACUGUGCUGUUGAAGGUGGGCGUAGGGAUGGUGGGAACGGCCCAGGCCAUCCUAGGUCACUGCUUGCUGGUGGGUGGCAUUGCAUAGUAACGUUAGGAGGUGAUGUGGAGUUGCAUGUUAAUGUUGGGAUGUGAUGUGGAGUUGCAUGGUAGCGUUGGGAGGUGAUGUGGAGUUGCAUGUUAAUGUUGGGAUGUGACGUGGAGUUGCAUGGUGACGUUAGGAGGUGACGUGUUGCAUGGUAACGUUAGAAGGCGAUGUGGAGUUGCUUGUUAACGUUAGGAGGCGACAUGUUGCAUGGUAGCAUUAGGAAGUAACAUGGAGUUGCAGGGUAAUGUUAGGAGGUGAUCCGGAGUUACAUGGUAACAUUAAGAGGCAAUGUGGAGUUGCAUGGUAACGUUAGGAGGUGACGUGGAGUUGCGUGGUAAUGUUAGCGGGUGACGUGGAGUUGCGCGGCGAUGUUAGCGGGUGACGUGGAGUUGCGUGGUGAUGUUAGCGGGUGACGUGGAGUUGCGUGGUGAUGUUAGCGGGUGAUGUGGAGUUGUGUGGUGAUGUUAGGAGGCAACGUGGUAUUGCAUGGUGAUGUGUGUGGCAAUUUCCGUUUUCUAUGCUGUGUCAUAGAGUGGAAAAUUCUCAGGCUAUCAACCUGGAUCAACCCCUCUUUGUCUUUUGCGCCAUCUUGGAGAACGCACUUUCCUGUUCCCAUCUGUGAAAUGGGAGUAAUGACCUCUUUCUCCCUCACCUCCCUGAGGCUAAAAUACGACAAUACUUUACACACUCCUAAAGGCUAUCCAG